GAUGAACGCUGGCGGCGUGCCUAAUACAUGCAAGUCGAGCGAACAGACGAGGAGCUUGCUCCUCUGACGUUAGCGGCGGACGGGUGAGUAACACGUGGAUAACCUACCUAUAAGACUUGGAUAACUUCGGGAAACCGGAGCUAAUACCGGAUAACAUGUUGAACCGCAUGGUUCAACAGUGAAAGACGGUUUUGCUGUCACUUAUAGAUGAAUCCGCGUCGCAUUAGCUAGUUGGUAAGGUAACGGCUUACCAAGGCAACGAUGCGUAGCCGACCUGAGAGGGUGAUCGGCCACACUGGAACUGAGACACGGUCCAGACUCCUACGGGAGGCAGCAGUAGGGAAUCUUCCGCAAUGGGCGAAAGCCUGACGGAGCAACGCCGCGUGAGUGAAGAAGGUCUUCGGAUCGUAAAACUCUGUUAUUAGGGAAGAACAAAUGUGUAAGUAACUAUGCACGUCUUGACGGUACCUAAUCAGAAAGCCACGGCUAACUACGUG
rnacentral:rRNA from 1 species